GACGAACGCUGGCGGCGUGCUUAACACAUGCAAGUCGAGCGGUAAGGCCCCUUCGGGAGUACACGAGCGGCGAACGGGUGAGUAACACGUGAGUAAUCUGCCCUUCACUUCGGGAUAACCACCGGAAACGGUGGCUAAUACCGAAUACGACCAGUCUUCGCAUGAGGUGCUGGUGGAAAGUCUUUUCGGUGAAGGAUGUGCUCGCGGCCUAUCAGCUUGUUGGUGGGGUAAUGGCCUACCAAGGCUUCGACGGGUAGCCGGCCUGGGAGGGUGACCGGCCACACUGGGACUGAGACACGGCCCAGACUCCUACGGGAGGCAGCAGUGGGGAAUAUUGGACAAUGGGCGAAAGCCUGAUCCAGCAACGCCGCGUGAGGGAUGACGGCCUUCGGGUUGUAAACCUCUUUCAGUACCGACGAAGCGCCCUGUCGGGUGGUGACGGUAGGUACAGAAGAAGGACCGGCCAACUACGUG
rnacentral:rRNA from 1 species